rnacentral:lncRNA from 1 species
UGGUAUUGUCACCUAGCAGUGAGACUGGUGGGAAAUGACAGCGAUGGCAACUUUGGGGGAUAGCUUCUCCCAGUAAGGAAGGCAAAUUCUACAAAAAGAAUGAAGCACAGCAGAAAAAGUGAAGCGCUGGUUCUUACAAGGGGAAAAGAAGGAAAGCCUUUGCUGCUGGGAAGAUAAGAUCUUCUUCAGAUGGCCACAGAUGUGAAGAAUUAACCCAGU